rnacentral:rRNA from 1 species
AUUGAACGCUGGCGGCAUGCCUUACACAUGCAAGUCGAACGGCAGCACGGGAGCAAUCCUGGUGGCGAGUGGCGAACGGGUGAGUAAUAUAUCGGAACGUGCCCAGUCGCGGGGGAUAACGCAGCGAAAGCUGUGCUAAUACCGCAUACGAUCUACGGAUGAAAGCGGGGGAUCGCAAGACCUCGCGCGAUUGGAGCGGCCGAUAUCAGAUUAGCUAGUUGGUGGGGUAAAGGCCCACCAAGGCGACGAUCUGUAGCUGGUCUGAGAGGACGACCAGCCACACUGGGACUGAGACACGGCCCAGACUCCUACGGGAGGCAGCAGUGGGGAAUUUUGGACAAUGGGCGCAAGCCUGAUCCAGCCAUGCCGCGUGUCUGAAGAAGGCCUUCGGGUUGUAAAGGACUUUUGUCCGGGAGCAAAUGCCUGGUGUUAAUAGCACUGGGAGCUGAGAGUACCGGAAGAAUAAGCACCGGCUAACUACGUGCCAGCCGCCGCGGUAAAAC